rnacentral:rRNA from 1 species
CGACUGCACGAAGCUGGAAUCGCUAGUAAUCGCGGAUCAGCACGCCGCGGUGAAUACGUUCCCGGGCCUUGUACACACCGCCCGUCACACCAUGGAAGUCUGCAAUGCCCGAAGCCGGUGGCCUAACCACUUAUGUGGAAGGAGCCGUCUAAGGCAGGGCAGAUGACUGGGGUGAAGUCGUAACAAGGUAAC